ensembl:lncRNA CENPBD2P CENPB DNA-binding domains containing 2, pseudogene
GGCCGUCGCCAGGCAACCUUCCCCCUUCGCGGCCGAGAUGGACCCUGGGCUCGGCGUCCUCCGGAAAACUGCACUGUGAGGCGGGGCGAUGGGGAAGGGCCGAAGCCCCGCCAGCCCAGCUAAAGCAGACGGCUCGCACUGCGACCCGAAGCGCGAGUCAUGGCUGGGGCCUUAGUGGCAACAAGUGCUGAGAUCAGCGGGCUCAGUAGCAGGAACACAAGCACCCCCUUGCGGUGUCUGGAGGAAGCGGCGCGGACAGUCUCCCGCUCCACCGUGUCGGGCCUGAAGAGGCCGCUGAACGCUCGCGAUUACUGAGGCAUCUGGUAGGAUCGCAAGGCCAUCAACCUACAGGUGAAGCUCGAGGCGCUGUGGCGCUUUGAAGCCGGAGAGAAGCUCAGUAGAAUCGGGAAGGCGCUGGGGCUGUCCAACUCCACCUUGGCCACCAUUCGUGACAACAAGGAAAAGAUCUGGGCGAGUUCCCAGGAGGCCACACUGCAGGCGGCCACCAAGUUGACGCGUGGCCGCAGCCUGGUGAUGGAGAACAUGGAGCAGCUGCUGAGCAUGCGGAUGGAGGACCAGAGCCAGCGCAACAUGCCCCUCAGUGUGGUGCUCAUUCGGGAGAAAGCCCACAGCCCGUUCGAGAACCGCAAGCAGGAGCAGGGCGAGGGCGCCUAGCCCGAGAGCUUCGGGGCCGGUCGAGGGUGAUUCGCUGGCUUUAAGGCGCGCCACAGCUUGAGCAGCAUCGGGGCCAGCGGCCCAAGAACGCAGCGUGCAAGAAUCCAGCGUUAAUGCGCAGGGUGAUCCCGGAGGGCGGCUACACACUCUGGCUGGUGUUCACCAUGAAUAAGCUCUGGCUGGUGUUCACCAUGAAUAAGCCCAGGUUCCUCUGUAAGCGCCUGCCGAGAGGACGUUCAUUUUCCUGUGGAAGAUGAGUCGGCCCCUGGGUCAAAGCCGCCGGAGACCUCCUGACCCUAUUGCUCGGUGGCAACGCAGCCGGCGACUUCAAGCUGAAGGCCCUGCUGGGGUACCCCUCGGAGAACCCGUGUUUCCUCAAGGGCUCCUUCAAGCCCAACCUGCCCUUGGUGUGGUGCUCGCACAAGAAAGCCUGGGUACAGCCUGGGUGACAGAGCGAGACUCCGUCUCAAAAAAAAAAAAAAAAGCCUGGGUAACCAUGAGCCUCUUCCAGGAGUGGUUCCUGCACUUCUGCUCUACAGUGGAGGGCGCUGCACCCAGUACGACCUUCCCUACAAGGGGCUGCCCAUCCUGGACAGCACUCCCGGCCACCCUGGGUGUUGAGACAGAGUCUGGCUCUGUCGCGCAGGCUGGAGUGCGGUGGCGCGAUCUCGGCUCACUGCAACCUCCGCCUCCCGGGUUCACGCCAUUCUCCUGCCUCAGCCUCCCAGGUAGCUGGGACUACAGGCGCCCGCCACCACGCCCGGCUAAUUUUUUUGUAUUUUUAGUAGAGACGGGGUUUCACCGUGUUAGCCAGAAUGGUCUCGGUCUCCUGACCCCAUGAUCCACCCGCCUUGGCGUCCCAAAGUGCUGGGAUUACAGGCGUGAGCCAUGGUGCCUGGCCCUUUAAUUCCCCCAAUAUUUUUUUAUCUGCAUUAAUUUAUUAUUUCAAGUGAACUUCCAUCUCAAAUACAUGGUUCUCAGACGCUUCCAUGAACUCUCAAGUGUGACUUAUUACAGCCUGGGGCUCCUUGGAGCACAGUGUGCCAGUGACCUAGUGGAAGGCCAUGAGAAAGCCAGGUUCACUGUUCACUGUGCAGCAUCUCCCUCCAUGGUCUUCCUGGAGCCUAUUCCCACUGCACUGAGCAUUCCGUGUGUCCAGAGGUAGGGUUAGCAGGGAUAGAUGGACUUCCUGCUUAUUUUCUGUUCACAUUUCCACUGACCUUCAAUCCUGUAGACUGCAAAGAUUGAGCCAGCUGAGCCCCCAAAGAGACUCAGCAGUGCAGAAUGUGGGCCUGAGUGGGAGGACUGCCCAGCCGCACACCUUCCAGCUCUGUUCUUCCCGGGCCCUGGAUGCUUCUUGCCACGCUGUCCUCUGAAAUGACGCUCUGCCCCAGCAGACCUGUGACGGCACCGAAAGCGAAGGAAGCUCCUGCUCCUCCUAAAGCCGAAGCCAAAGCGAAGGCUUUAAAGGCCAAGAAGGCAGUGUUGAAAGGUGUCCGCAGCCACACGCAAAAAAGAAGAUCCGCAUGUCACUCACCUUCAGGCGGCCCAAGACACUGCGACUCCGGAGGCAGCCCAGAUAUCCUCGGAAGAGCACCCCCAGGAGAAACAAGCUUGGCCACUAUGCUAUCAUCAAGUUUCCGCUGACCACUGAGUCGGCCGUGAAGAAGAUAGAAGAAAACAACACGCUUGUGUUCACUGUGGAUGUUAAAGCCAACAAGCACCAGAUCAGACAGGCUGUGAAGAAGCUCUAUGACAGUGAUGUGGCCAAGGUCACCACCCUGAUUUGUCCUGAUAAAGAGAAGAAGGCAUAUGUUCGACUUGCUCCUGAUUAUGAUGCUUUCGAUGUUGUAACAAAAUUGGGAUCACCUAAACUGAGUCCAGCUGGCUAACUCUAAAUAUAUGUGUAUCUUUUCAGCAUAAAAAAAUAAUGUUUUUCAUAAGAAUGACAACUUAAUUAGAAUCAAAUCUAUAAGCUUUAAGAUUUUACGUUUCUAGUAAGUAUAAUAUUAGCUUAUUUGACUAGAACUCAAGCAGAAUAGGAAUUUAUGCUUGUUUUAUAUUCAAUAAUGAUAAUUUUGAAGAUAUAGUUGUUUUAUUACACCAAAAAUACUAUAUUAAUCUUAUUUAACUAAGUUUUAUCCAAAUCAUGUUAACUUAAGAAACAUUUGAUCAGUUCCUAUAUUUCUAGGAGUUUGGUGAAUAUUUAUUUAUAAAUGCUUAUUUUUUUCCAAGCCAAGUUAGAAUAGAGCACUUUUAGAGGAUUUCAUAAAUGAAUUUUGUAAUGCUCUCUGGAGUUAAGAAAAUAUCACAUAUACAUAACAUACAUUAAUAGAUACACAAACACAAAUAGAGAUUUCAUAGCUUUCAUCCUGAAAUUUCAGCCAUGAAUCAGGCAUAAAUAUUCUGAUGGUUAAUUUCAGACAUCUACUUGAUCGGAUUGAGAGACACACAUAGCUGGUCAAACACGAUUUCAGCCAUGAAUCAGGCAUAAAUAUUCUGAUGGUUAAUUUUAGACAUCUACUUGAGUGGAUUAAGAGACACACAUAGCUGGUCAAACAUGAUUUCAGCCAUGAAUCAGCCAUAAAUAUUCUGAUGGUUAAUUUUAGACAUCUACUUGAGUGGAUUAAGAGACACACAUAGCUGGUCAAACACAAUUUCAGCCAUGAAUCAGGCAUAAAUAUUCUGACGGUUAAUUUUAGACAUCUACUUGAUCGGAUUGAGAGACACACAUAGCUGGUCAAACACGAUUUCAGCCAUGAAUCAGGCAUAAAUAUUCUGACGGUUAAUUUUAGACAUCUACUUGAGUGGAUUGAGAGACACACAUAGCUGGUCAAACACAAUUUCAGCCAUGAAUCAGGCAUAAAUAUUCUGACGGUUAAUUUUAGACAUCUACUUGAGUGGAUUGAGAGACACACAUAGCUGGUCAAACACGAUUUCAGCCAUGAAUCAGGCAUAAAUAUUCUGACGGUUAAUUUUAGACAUCUACUUGACUGGAUUAAGAGACACACAUAGCUGGUGAAACACGAUUUCAGCCAUGAAUCAGGCAUAAAUAUUCUGACGGUUAACUUUAGACAUCUACUUGACUGGAUUAAGAGACACACAUAGCUGGUCAAACACGAUUUCAGCCAUGAAUCAGGCAUAAAUAUUCUGACGGUUAACUUUAGACAUCUACUUGAUUGGAUUGAGAGACACACAUAGCUGGUCAAACACAAUUUCAGCCAUGAAUCAGGCAUAAAUAUUCUGACGGUUAAUUUUAGACAUCUACUUGACUGGAUUAAGGGACACACACAGCUGGUCAAACAAUUUCAGCCAUGAAUCAGGCAUAAAUAUUCUGACAGUUAAUUUUAGACAUCUACUUGAGUGGAUUAAGAGACACACAUAGCUGGUCAAACACGAUUUCUGGGCAUAUCUAUGAGGGUGUUUCUGGAAGACACUGAGAUAACCAUGACCCAAUGUGGAUGGGCACUGAUAUGGUUUGGCUGUGUCCCCACCCAGAUCUCAUCUUGAAUUGUAGUUCCUGUAAUACCUACAUGUCGUGGGAGGGACCCAGUGGGAGGUGACUGAAUCAUGGUGGUGGUUACCGCCAUGCUGUUCUCAUGACAGUGAGUGAGUUCUCAUGAUCUGAUGGUUUUAUAAGGGGCUUUUCCCCUUUGGGUCAGCACUUCUUGUUGCUGCCAUGUGAAGAGGGAUAGCUUUGCUUCCCCUUCUGCCAUGAUUGUGAGGCCCCUGCAGCCAUGUGGAACUGUCAGCCCAUUAAACCCCUUUGUUCUUUAUAAAUUGCUCAGACUCAGGUAUUUCUUCAUAGCUGUAUAAAAAUGGAUGAAUACAGGCACCAUCCAAUUGGUUGAGAGCCCAGAUAGAAUAACAAGGAAGAGGAAAGGUGAAUUAUCUCCUUCUGAAAUGGAAACAUCCUUCUUCUCCUGCCCUUGACAUCAGAACUUCAGGGUCUCAGACCUUUGGCCUCACAAUCAGAGUUACACCAUUGGCUUCCCCGAUUCUGAGUCCUUUGUAUCUGGAGUGAGCCAUGCUACCAGCUUUCCUGGUUCUCCAACUUGGAGACAGGCUAUUGUGGAACUUCUCAGCCUCCAUAAUUAUGUGAACCAGUUCCCCUAAUGAAUCUUCUCUCAUCUAUCUACAUAUAUCCUAUUGAUUCUGCCUUUAUGGAGACCCCUGCCUAAUGUGAUUACAAUAACUACAAAAUUCACUAGUUUAUAUAGAAGACUUGGUUUUUGUCUUUGCCCCAUUUUAUAUUUGUAUUAUAACUAUGUAUCUGGAAAAUGGAACAAGUUUUUUCUUCUUUAUAUGAGGGCUAAGGCUUUUUUCUCACCAAUAUUUUUGGAGAUUUUAAAGAUUUUCUUUUUUUUUUUGACAUAGAAUCUUAUGGAGGCUGAGAAAUAAUUUUUUUUCUAUUUUAUUCUUCAGCCCCAGGUGUUUGCUUUUGCAGAUUCUUGAGCACAUUGAGAGCCUCCAAGGCAUGGAGUGGGGUGCCUGAAGUUUCAGUGAUUAUAGGGAGUUGAGAGACUCAACUGGGAAAGGAAAGGUCUAAAAGGAGGCAAUUUGGAAAAUAAAAAUUUUCUCAAAGGAGCCAUUAAAGUUGUAAAUAAUUCUUAGUAAAGUCAUGCAAACAGGAAAAGAAGUAGAAUUAGUUCCAUAUUGGUGGAACACAUAGUCAGCAGAGGUUGGAGAAGGGAGAAUUUAGUGAACUGAGAAGUUCCCAUGAAAGCAGCAAGAUCAAGAUCACAGAGACACCUUGAAACAAAAAGCCAGGAAUAACUUCCAACCCAAGAGGAGAACAGAGAGGCCUCAAAACCAAAGCUAGGAUAAGAAACUUGUAGCCCAAGAGUUAUCUUCCAGACAAAGAAGCCUGAGAUUCCAACGCAGCUUCAGAGAGUGCUCACUCAAAAUGUUACUGAAACUGUAGGCUUUUUAAUGACUUAGCCAUGCCUGCAAAAGGCAUUCCCUAAGGUGGCACAGAAGAUGGAGCCCCCAUAUCCAAAGAUAGCCAAGGAGAAAGAAAGACCCCUGUUGCCAGAGCCAGUGGGCAAAGGCAACAGAAAAGGAGACAAGGGUCCUAAUGGGAUGAGAUCCUUUCGGAUUUAGGCUUUUAUACAAACUCCUGAGAACUGGCAGGUUGACAGCCAUAAAUGGGGUACCAAACUUUCUACUCAUUGGAUUACAAGUUCUCAGGCAUCCAGAAUGAUUAACAAAAUGACAAUUUCUAGGGCUUCUGUGGGAGAGUAUGGAAAGGUCUUUUUGAACCUUUUAAUGCUGUCAAUGGAAGAAUGAUGAGGUUCAUAAAUUUGGAAAGGAGACAUUUCUUCAUUUUUAUGCUUAUUUUUAUUUUUUUUUGAGACAGAGUUUCACUCUUGUUGCCCAGGCUGGAGUGCAAUGGCGUGAUCUUGGCUCACUGCAACCUCCGCCUCCUGGGUUCAAGCGAUUCUCCUGCCUCAGCCUCCUGAUUAGCUGGGAUUACAGAUGCCCACCACCACACCUGGCUAAUUUUUUGCAGUUUUGGUAGAGACAGGGUUUCAUCAUGUUGGCCAGGCUGGUCUGAAACUCCUGACCUCAGGUGAUCCACCCACCUCGGCCUCCCAAAGUGCUGGGAUUACAGGCAUGAGCCACCCACCCAGUGAGAGAUUUAUUUUCUAUAAAGGGUUGUAGCCUGCAGGGUUGUCCUUCUGACAGGCUGGGAAGCAUAGCCUCCAGCCAGAAGCCAGAAACAGAUGCUUCAAGGAGGAGGUAAAGGAAAUAGCAACUUAUGCUGAGUGGAAUGGCCAAAUAGAUUUAUUUAAUAAGCUCUAGGAGGAGUCAUGAAUAUUUAUGGAAGGAGAAAUGCAUGCACGCACAAUUGAGUUUCUUGCUUCUUCAUGGGUCCCAUGUACAAAAAAUGGCAGUGUUAGCAUGAUCCCAGGGUGGAGUUUUCAGCCCUCUGACAUUAAAAGGUGAAGCAGAGGACAUGAAAACUUGCUCUGUGCAUCCUCUGUACGCUGGCCAGAACCUCUCCAUCGUGGGUGGUCUCUUAUCAGGCAAGAAAGGAGAGGUUGAUAUCAGUAGUGGAGGCUUUGAAAGGGCUGGUUUCUGUUAAAUCCUUAGGGAAGAAAGCCUCAUCAUGGUUAGCAAAGGAGGGGGUAUAACGAUGUGUAUCUUAACCCCAUCAUCCCAUCCUAGCAAAGCUGAGAACUCAGUUUUGAAAGUUACUCUGGGGUCCCCUCAGCCAAGAGUGGGUCUGUUCAGUCAGUUGGGAGCUUAGAAUUUAAUUUUCAUUUAUCAAUGCUAAUGGGAAAGAGUACGCUGUCUUCAUGGCAGCUGAAUUUGCAAGAAACUCCUUGGAUGGGGUUAAUGGCAGCUGUAUUUUUCUGGGAGCUGUGCUUUAAUUGGAUAAAGUAAGUUCUGGUAAGAUUUCUUCAUCUUCAGUAUCUCAAAUGUUUUCAUUUAAAUAAUCUUUAUAACAACUUUUGAUGUCUGAGUGGAUUCCCACACAGUCAUCUAUUGUAAGACUUUCUGAUUCCUUUUUUUUCCUUUGGUCAUUAUGAAUAGGGCUUCUGUAAAUAACUGCAUGGUAGCUUUUGAUGGGAAAUAACAUCAAAGUAGUUGUCAAAAUACCUAGGAAUGUUAUUUUUGGAUUGUAAGGUGAGACUUGUUUAGCUUUGGAAAAAAAUGCCCAACUUGUAAUAGGGGAGGAAAAAUAAUUUUCUGUUUUUGGAAUUCUUAGAUGGAACGCUCUGUAAAAACUGACAGAUUAAAAUGAGAAAAAGAGAAAAGUUUAAAAACAUGUAUAUCUUAUGGUUACAUGGGAUAUACUCAGGGAAAAAUGAGUAAAUCUCCAACAGGUGGCUUUCAAUUCAAGCAUAAAUACUAUCUUCAACUUAAAGAAAGAAGAUUUGAGGUGCAGUAGUGGGAAGUUAACCAGCAAAAGCACAUUAGACAGGGGUAAGGUUUGUUAUACAGAGUUAAGUCCAUGCAGUCUCCAUUGAUAAGACUCUUCAGUGAUUUAGUUAUCCUUCUCUUCUUGGUGUCGAGAGAGGUAGCUUUUAAAUGGUGAUUUCCUUUAUAGAUGUAAAUUUUCCUUACACAAGUAACUUCUACUCUGUUUUCACAACUUCCUUUGUUAGCAUUUUUUUUUCAAAAUAAUUAGCUUGGAAUAAUUUUUAAGCCAAAGGGACAUAUUUUGGGGUUGCAUAUUCUGGUUUCCUACCAUUAUAUUUUGGGGUGGCAUAGUUUGGUCUUAUACACUGUGUUCUACUGGCAAUGAAAAGAGUUCUUGUUUUUCCUCCAGCAAUUUGUCAUUUGUUAAAGAGCUUAGCAGUUCUAAGAGAUAUAGACCAGCUGUGCUAUCUUUUUGUGGUUUUCAGUUCUCUAGUAUGUUGAGCAUCUUUUUGUAAGUGUACUUGCCAUCUGUAGAUCUUCUUUGGUGAGGUGUCUGUUCAGAUCUGUGUGCAUUUUUAAUUGGGCUGUUUAACUUAUUGUUUAGUUUUAACAAUUUUUUAUAUAUUUUGAAUACAAAUUCUCAGAUCUGUAUUUUGCAAAUAUUUUCUUCAAUAUGUGGCUUGUCUUUUUGUUCUCUUAACAAGGUCUCUUCCAGAGUAUAAACUGUAAAUAUUAAGAAAUCCACAUUGUCAUUUCUUCUGUGUAUAUCAACCUUCUGUGUCAUUUGUUAA